GACGAACCGAGCGAACGUUGUUCGGAAUCACUGGGCUUAAAGGGCGCGUAGGCGGGCUGUCAAGUCUGGGGUGAAAUCCCGCGGCUCAACCGUGGAACUGCCUUAGAUACUGACGGCCUCGAGGGAGAUAGGGGCGAGCGGAACUGUGAGUGGAGCGGUGAAAUGCGUUGAUAUUCACAGGAACUCCGGUGGCGAAGGCGGCUCUCUGGAUCUCUUCUGACGCUGAGGCGCGAAAGCUAGGGGAGCAAACGGG
rnacentral:rRNA from 1 species